ACAGAAACCUAAAUCUUGGAGGCUUGCUUGUCAAACUAUUGCUGAAACAAUUUAUUCUGGCAAGGAUGAAGUCUUCAUUUGAUGCGGAUCCCUUCUUCACUACUCUCUUGCAAAGUGGUGGACAAGGGGAAGGCAGCACCCCCUUCAAUAGCAUACAUGAUAAUGUGGUGGUCCAACCAUCACAAGCUGAAGGUGAACGAAGGCCACCUAUUAAAAAAUCUCAACGAAGUGUGUCUUUCACCACUGAGGAGGAUAAUCUCCUUGUUUCAGCUUGGCUAAACAUUAGCGUUGAUGCUAUUUAAGGGACUGAC